UCAAGGUUGUAAUUUAUGAUUGAGAUUCAAGUAUGGGCCUUUUACACUAAUAAUUCCAGUAUAAAUGUAUAUUGUGUUAUUAUGUUUCUCCUAUUCUUUAUCUCUCAGGGUUUUGAGAAGACAGAAUUGUUCAAGUAGAAGUCUGAUUUGUUUUUUGGCACUGUUUCUGUAAUAGGUCUCUCACAAUUGGUCAAAUGCAAGGAAAGUUUCAGAUGGUAGUUGUCAGACACACAGGGCAUGCUAUUCAGGAAGAUGUACCUGAUGAAUUUGCAACUCUGAUUAUCAACUUUAUUUCUCGUAACCGAAUAGGCCCUCAUGGAAUUGAGAUAUCUGGCCUCCGCAAGCCAGCCUUUUCAAAACCUUGAAUAUCAGGUAUUAGAUGAACCAACAAUGGCAACCACUGCAGGAUGACGAUGGAUUACUUUGAUAUUCCUUUCCUUUUUCUUAUGGUUUGCCUUUUUAGAUUUUUAGUAUUAUGAAUACUUGUAUGUUUUGUUGGGGGAGUUGUGUAGGUGAAGCAUUAUUUAUUUCAGAUUAUUAACAAAUAUGAUGAGCAUUAGAGGAAGAUGAGGCUGGACAUAGAUUUGCGCACAUUACAAGUGAAAUGAGUGACUUUAUCAUUAU